rnacentral:rRNA from 1 species
AACGAACGCUGGCGGCAUGCCUAACACAUGCAAGUCGAACGAAACCUUCGGGUCUAGUGGCGCACGGGUGCGUAACGCGUGGGAACCUGCCCUUAGGUUCGGAAUAACUCCCCGAAAGGGGUGCUAAUACCGGAUAAUGUCUUCGGACCAAAGAUUUAUUGCCUUUGGAUGGGCCCGCGUUGGAUUAGAUAGUUGGUAGGGUAAAAGCCUACCAAGGCGACGAUCCAUAGCUGGUCUGAGAGGAUGAUCAGCCACACUGGGACUGAGACACGGCCCAGACUCCUACGGGAGGCAGCAGUGGGGAAUAUUGGACAAUGGGCGAAAGCCUGAUCCAGCAAUGCCGCGUGAGUGAUGAAGGCCUUAGGGUUGUAAAGCUCUUUUACCCGGGAUGAUAAUGACAGUACCGAGAGAAUAAGCUCCGGCUAACUCCGUG